GCGCCGCUAGCUCAAUUGGCAGAGCAGUGCCCUCUUAAGGCAACGGUUCGGGGUUCGAGUCCCUGGCGGCGCA
rnacentral:tRNA from 1 species